GACGAACGCUGGCGGCGUGCCUAAUACAUGCAAGUCGAACGCAGUGGGGACGGGUGAGGAACACGUGGGUAACCUCCCAUCAGAGGGGAGAACACUUGGAAACAGGUGCUAAACCGAUACUGAUGGAUGGACCCGCGGGGCAUUAGCUAGUUGGUGAGGUAACGGCUCACCAAGGCCACGAUGCAUAGCCGGGCUGAGAGGAUGAUCAGCCACACUGGGACUGAGACACGGCCCAGACUCCUACGGGAGGCAGCAGUGGGGAAUAUUCGGCAAUGGGCGAAAGUCUGACCGAGCAAUGCCGCGUGAGUGAAGAAGGUUUUCGGGUCGUAAAGCUCUGUUGUUAGGGAGGCGUUAUCUAACGAGAAAGCCCCGGCUAACUACGUGCCAGCAGCCGCGGUAAUAC
rnacentral:rRNA from 1 species